UUCCCCUAGUAACUGCGAGUGAAGCGGGAAAAGCUCAAAUUUAAAAUCUGGCGGUCUCUGGCCGUCCGAGUUGUAAUCUAGAGAAGUGUUAUCCGCGCUGGACCGUGUACAAGUCUCCUGGAAUGGAGCGUCAUAGAGGGUGAGAAUCCCGUCUUUGACACGGACUGCCAGGGCUUUGUGAUGCGCUCUCAAAGAGUCGAGUUGUUUGGGAAUGCAGCUCAAAAUGGGUGGUAAAUUCCAUCUAAAGCUAAAUAUUGGCGAGAGACCGAUAGCGAACAAGUACCGUGAGGGAAAGAUGAAAAGAACUUUGGAAAGAGAGUUAAACAGUACGUGAAAUUGCUGAAAGGGAAACGCUUGAAGUCAGUCGCGUUGGCCGGGAAUCAACCUUGCUUUUGCUGGGCGUAUUUUCUGGUCGACGGGUCAACAUCAAUUUUGACCGUUGGAUAAAGUCUGAGGGAAUGUGGCUUCUUCGGGAGUGUUAUAGCCCUUGGUCGCAUACAACGGUUGGGAUUGAGGAACUCAGCACGCCGCAAGGCCGGG
rnacentral:rRNA from 1 species